CACGUAGGGUGCGAGCGUUGUCCGGAAUUAUUGGGCGUAAAGAGCUCGUAGGCGGUGUGUCGCGUCGGCCGUGAAAACCUGCAGCUUAACUGUGGGCUUGCGGUCGAUACGGGCAUCACUGGAGUUCGGCAGGGGAGACUGGAAUUCCUGGUGUAGCGGUGAAAUGCGCAGAUAUCAGGAGGAACACCGGUGGCGAAGGCGGUUCUCUGGGCAUUACCUGACGCUGAGGAGCGAAAAGUGUGGG
rnacentral:rRNA from 1 species